AGUGAACGCUGGCGGUAGGCCUAACACAUGCAAGUCGAACGGCAGCACAGUAAGAGCUUGCUCUUACGGGUGGCGAGUGGCGGACGGGUGAGGAAUACAUCGGAAUCUACUUUUUCGUGGGGGAUAACGUAGGGAAACUUACGCUAAUACCGCAUACGACCUACGGGUGAAAGCAGGGGAUCUUCGGGCCUUGCGCGAUUGAAUGAGCCGAUGUCGGAUUAGCUAGUUGGCGGGGUAAAGGCCCACCAAGGCGACGAUCCGUAGCUGGUCUGAGAGGAUGAUCAGCCACACUGGAACUGAGACACGAUCCAGACUCCUACGGGAGGCAGCAGUGGGGAAUAUUGGACAAUGGGCGCAAGCCUGAUCCAGCCAUACCGCGUGGGUGAAGAAGGCCUUCGGGUUGUAAAGCCCUUUUGUUGGGAAAGAAAAGCAGCAGGUUAAUACCCCGCUGUUCUGACGGUACCCAAAGAAUAAGCACCGGCUAACUUCGUG
rnacentral:rRNA from 1 species